UACGUAGGGUGCGAGCGUUGUCCGGAAUUAUUGGGCGUAAAGAGCUUGUAGGCGGUUUGUCGCGUCUGCUGUGAAAAUCCGAGGCUCAACCUCGGACUUGCAGUGGGUACGGGCAGACUAGAGUGUGGUAGGGGAGACUGGGAUUCCCGGUGUAGCGGUAAUAUGCGUAGAUAUCGGGAGGAACACCAGUGGCGAAGGCGGCUCUCUGGGGUAUUUCUGACGCUGAGGCACGAAAGCCAGGGGAGCGAACGGG
rnacentral:rRNA from 1 species